AUGACUGUGAAAAAUCCUUAUGUUCUUUUGGGCAGCGGUUUGAUGUGUGAAGUUUUCCAUGACAGAGGGAUGGUGUGCGU